UACAGAGGGUGCAAGCGUUAAUCGGAUUUACUGGGCGCAAAGCGCGCGUAGGCGGCUAAUUAAGUCAAAUGUGAAAUCCCCGAGCUUAACUUGGGAAUUGCAUUCGAUACUGGUUAGCUAGAGUGUGGGAGAGGAUGGUAGAAUUCCAGGUGUAGCGGUGAAAUGCGUAGAGAUCUGGAGGAAUACCGAUGGCGAAGGCAGCCAUCUGGCCUAACACUGACGCUGAGGUGCGAAAGCAUGGGAGCAAACAGG
rnacentral:rRNA from 1 species